UUAUAUUCUUUCCUUUCCCCCUCUACAUCCUCAAUCCAGUAUUCAAUAUUCAUGGCUCUAUUCGGCGACCCCUUCAGGCGAUUCUUCGUCAAUCCAUCGAUCUACCGCGCGCCGCCGGGAUCAGCGGCUCUUCUAGACUGGGUGGAGUCCCCAUCCGCUCACAUCCUCAAGCUCAAUGUACCAGGGUACAGGAAAGAGGAUAUAAAAGUGCAGAUUGAGGAUGGAAAUGUUGUGGUGAUAAGAGGAGAGGGCGAGAGGGAGGAUGAGAAGGAGAAGGAGAAGGAAGUGAUUUGGCACGCAGCCGAGAGGAGGGCGGCAAGCGGAUUCGUGAGGGAGAUGGAGCUGCCGGAGGACGUUAAGGUAGAACAGAUCAAGGCGCAGGUGGAGAACGGCGUGCUUACGGUGGUUAUACCUAAGGAGACAACUUCCAAAGCGCCCAAGGCCAAUAGAUUCUAGCCCAAUUCGUGAAGGGAAUGCGAUACAGUCUGCAAAUCUAGGCCGUGGAAACAACUAAAGCCGAACAAAAUCCGAAGAGAAGGCAGAGGCCGAAUACGUGACCAUCCUCAGCCUCGUUGAAACAAUGACAAGAUUACAAGCUUCUGAAGUUGCAGAAUGACGAGUAGAAAAUAAAUGAUGAAGAUAAGUGUCAAAAUUGCGGCACAAAGGAACACUGGUCAUACAUUUGUAGAACGCCUAAGCACUUGGCUCAAGUGUACGCUAAAGGACAUCCUUUAGCGUUAGCUCUUUGCCGGAGAUCAUCUUAAGCACCACGUUCCCCACGCUUUGGACCUCGGAAGUUGUGUGGUUUCCCACGUGCAGUUUCCUUCCUUCCGUCUCUUUGUAGGUUGAGAAGCUUGUCUUAUUGGAGCAAGCAUGGCAGGUUGCUCGGGUAUCAAUAAAAUAUACUUUCAAACUUUCUGCAUCAUUUGUUUCAUACAUAACAGUGACAAGAUCGUCCUUGUUGAGGUCAAGAUUAGUCCGGUGGCUCGUCUCAACCAAUCGGGAAUUCGAUUUCUUUCUUUUUGGUGCCUUACAGUCCUUAACUUGGUGCCAUGUUUUAUCACAGUUAAAACAGUUACGUGUAAACUUGAAUUGUUUGGCCUUACCUUUGCCCUUAUCCAUUUGAGUUGGCCGUGUAUGUUUCUUGGAGGGAUCUGCGACCAAGUUGGCUUUGGCAAUAUCUUUGUCUUUAUCUUUGUGCUAUUUUUUAUUGUCCUCCUCUAUCCGAAUUCGGAUAAUAAGAUCUUCAAGCCCUAAUUGCUUUAGUUAAUGCUUCAACCCGUGUUUGAAGUUGCUCAGAUUCGGGUGCAAUUUUUUAUCAUCAUGCUCGUGGUGAACUUUUCUGGCAGUGGCAUCUCCUCACCGAUGACAGAGUGGACAAUGUGUUGAAAUUCUUCUACUUGUUCAACGACAGACUAGCCAUCUAUCAUUCUAUAGUCCAUAAUCCGAGCCACAACAAACAUUUUGGACCCGAAGUUCUCAUACUCAUAAUUUUUCUCAAGGGCAUUCCACAGCCCUUUCGCACUAUUUAUUUUACAGUAUACAUUAUAAAGAGAGUUAGAG